CGAGAUAAGGCAAUCUGAAAUUGCAAAUAAAGAUGAAGUACAGCAGUCUCAAGGAGACGAGUAACAAGGUGGGGUUCCGAUAGCGGUUCUUCCUGUAGGUCUAGCCGACACUAGUGGUGAAGCCUGAAGUUGCAACAAUGGCUAACUUAUCUAAACAAAACCCAACCAGCCAAAGGGGGUGGUGGCUGCACUUAUAUAGAAGGUGGGAGGUGGAAGAGAGCUAGGGUUUCAGAUUCUAAGAUGGGCUGGGCUGUUACAUGGCCUUGGGCCCAUUAGAAGUGCAAGUGGCAGUCCAAGCAUCUCUUCUCUUCCCAUGACUUUAAGUGGCUGCAGCUUCUCGUAUUCUCGUGGUAGUUGCUGCACCAUUUCCUUUCGCACGCGUGCCGUCAUCCUCGAAGUUCGACUCGCUUCCAUUCCUUGUGUCACGACUCGGUCCUUCAUUCCUAAUCAACAUAAGAGCAUCUGAUUUAGGCAGCACCAUAUUCUCAUUUAGAUUGCCUAUAGUACAAAGAAACGAAAGUACCUGAUAAUUGAGUUGGCACGCACGCGGACGAGUAAUCGGUCCUUGUAAUGCUGCGGUUGUAUCUGUGGGGUGGAUGUCCUCAUCAUCCUCCCCUUCUUGAAAUGGAGUCGUCCGCGACACCAUUUCAUCAUCCUCGCCCAGGUAGGGCUUCAAAUCUGCAAUGUUAAAUGUGGGACUAACCCCACCAUAAUCUACAGGCAGCUCAAGUUGAUAUGCAUUAUCAUUUUUUUCGCUAGAACCUUGAAAGGGCCAGCAGCACGAGGCAUGAGUUUAGAACUACGCAAAUCAGGAAACGGGUCCUUUCUUAAGUGUAACUAAAGAUCACCGGGUUGAAAAACAACCUCUUUUCUCCCUCUAUCACCAGGAAGUUUAUACUUGUCAUUCAUACGCUCAAUGUUGGCUUUAUGGGUCUGAUGUAAUUUUAGAAUCAUUUCAGCCCGUGCACUAGCAUCAAGAUUAAUCUUUUCAGAAGUUGGAAGGGGCAGCAAAUCAAUGGGUGCACGAGGAAUAAAACCAUAGAAAACUUCAACAUGAGGCAAGCAUUCUUCCCACAAUUUUAAGUUUUUCUUUAAAACAGCCCUAAGCAUGGUAGACAAAGUUCUAUUAACAACUUCAGUUUGUCCAUCAGUUUGGGGAUGACAAGUAGUGCUAAACAAUAAUUUUGUCCCCAAUUUUGCCCAUAAACACCUCCAAAAGUGGCUGAAGAAUUUGGUGUCCCGAUCUGAAACUAUAGUGUUGGGCACACCAUGCAAGCGUACAACUUCAUGAAAGAAAAGAUCAGCAACAUGUGUGGCAUCAUCACUCUUGUGGCAAGGAAUAAAAUGAGCCAUCUUUGAAAAUCUGUCCACGACAACAAAUAUGCUAUCCCUCCCCUUCUUAGUUCUAGGUAAUCCCAACACAAAAUCCAUUGAUAUAUCUUCCCAGGGAACAUUAGGGACAGGGAGAGGCAUAUAUAAACCAUGAGGAUUGAGUCGUGACUUAGCUUUUUGGCAUGUGGUGCAGCGAGCAAUGAAUCUCUCAACAUCCCGUCUCAUCCGAGGCCAAAAGAAAUGAGCAGCGAGCACAUCCUCUGUCUUCUUCACUCCGAAGUGACCCAUUAAACCUCCUCCAUGCGUCUCCUGCAACAACGAAAGACGAACGGAGCUAUCUGGGAUGCAUAGCUUGUUAGCACGGAACACAAAUCCAUCAUCAAUGAUGAACUUGUUCCAAGUCUUGCCCUCUCUACAAUGCUGCAAAACAUCUUUAAAAUCUGCAUCUUGCACAUAUUGUUCUUUGAUGGUCUCCAAAUCAAAGAUUUUGAAGUCAGGUUGUGAAAGCAUGGUAUAACGGCGUGAUAAAGCAUCGGCAAUAACAUUGUCCUUUUCCUUCUUGUGUUUGAUUACAUAGGGAAAAGACUCAAUGAAUUCAACCCAUUUAGCAUGCCUACGGUUCAGUUUUGCUUGGCUGCGAAUAUGCUUCAAAGAUUCAUGAUCUGAAUGUAUAACAAAUUCUUUGGGCCAUAAAUAAUGUUGCCAUGUUUCGAGGGUUCGAACUAGAGUAUAUAAUUCUUUGUCAUAAGUAGAAUAGUUCAAAGCAGGCCCUCCUAAUUUCUCACUAAAGUAAGCAACAUGUUUGCCAUCUUGUAAUAACACACCUCCCAAACCAAUUCCACUAGCAUCACAUUCAAGCUCAAAAGUUUUGUUAAAAUCAGGAAGUUGGAGUAAAGGAGCAUGUGUCAACUUAUCUUUCAAUAUGCUGAACGCCUCUUCUUGCGUAGGUCCCCAAACAAAGGGAACAUCCUUCUUUGUGAGCUCAUUUAGAGGGGCAGCAAUGGUGCUGAAAUCCCUCACGAAGCGCCGAUAGAAUCCAGCGAGGCCAAGAAAACUCCUCACAUGAGUGACCGUCUUCGGUGGUGGCCAGCUUUGGAUGGCUUCAACUUUGGCUUUCUCCACUUCAAUUCCCUGCGGUGUCACAACAUAGCCAAGAAAAGAAACUCGAUCCGUGCAGAAGGUGCACUUGUCAAGGUUACCAAACAAGCGUGCAGUCCGUAAGGCAUCAAUAACAGCAUGCAAGUGAUUUAAAUGAUCCUCUAAAGACUUGUUGUAGAUCAAGAUAUCAUCAAAGUAAACUACCACAAAGCGUCCAAUAAAAGACCGUAAAACCUCAUUCAUUAGUCGCAUAAAGGUGCUGGGGGCAUUCGUCAAACCAAAAGGCAUAACUAGCCACUCAUAGAGACCGAAUUUAGUUUUAAUGCAGUUUUCCAUUCAUCUCCAAGCCUCAUACGGAUCUGGUGGUAACCACUACGCAAAUCAACCUUAGAGAACAUGGUAGAGCCGCUCAACUCAUCAAGCAUGUCAUCUAAUCAUGGAAUUGGAUGGCGGUAGCGAAUGGUAAUAUUGUUGAUAGCCCUACAAUUAACACACAUGCGGGAGGAUCCAUCUUUCUUUGGUACCAAAAGAAUAGGGACAGCACAUGGACUAAGAGACUCACGAAUGUAACCUUUGUCAAGCGCUCCUGCACUUGUCGCUGAAUCUCCUUUGUCUCCUCGGGGUUGGUACGGUAUGGCGCUCUAUUGGGAAGUGCAGCCCUGGGAAUCAAAUCAAUUUGGUGCUCUAUCCCACGGACUGGUGGUAAUCCUGGUGGUGUCUCUUGUGGAAAGACAUCCUCGAACUUCUGCAAAAGGUUAGCAACGAUAGGGGGCAAAUAGGAAGGCAUAUCCUCAAGCGAAAACAAAGGCUCUUUGCAAAUAAUAGCAUAGCAAGUAGAGACACAAGUGUCAAGUUCAGAAAUAUCAGAUUUGAUAGCAAGCAAACAUGUACCCUUUAAACGGAUCUCAUUACCAAGUUUAGGUUCAGAUUUAGGUGCACUUGUUUGCCCUAUAAAUUCUUUAGCAACAAUCUGAUUUUCACUUUUAGCUUUGGCCAGAUUUUUAGCUCUACUAGCCCGAGAAAGAUCAUCCUUUAAUCUGUUCAGGAGUCAUUGGUUUGAGGCCAAUCUUCUUUCCAUUAUGCACAAGAGAGUAUUGGUUAGUUCUACCAUCAUGAAUUGACUCUCUAUCAUAUUGCCAAGGUCUACCAAGUAACAAGGAACAUGCUUGCAUAGGUACAACAUCACAAUCAACAAAAUCAGCAUAUGUACCAAUUGCAAAAUGUGCACGAACAGUUUGGGUUACCUUGACCUUACCACUGUUAUUGAACCAUUGGACAUAGUAGGGAUAAGGGUGCGGCCUGGUUGUGAGAGCAAGCUUCUCAACCAAAUCCAAACUAGCCAAGUUGUUGCAACUCCCUCCAUCGAUGAUGAUACGGACGGCCCGCUCCUUGAUAACGCCACGUGUUUGGAACAAGUUGUGGCACUGAUUUUGGUCAACUGGGCUGGGCUGCACAUUUAACACACGUUGGGUGACAAGGCUCUUGUAUUGAUCAGCGUGUUCAACACCCAUCAUCUCCAUUUCUUGCUCAGCCGUGCCCUCCAUUUGCUCUUGGUCAGCAAUCAAAGCAUAGGUGUCCUCAUCAAGGUCACUAGCUGAAUCGUAGCCCCCAUCUUCAUGAAUAAUCAUCACACGUUUGGUAGGGCAAUCCGUGCGGAAAUGACCAUAACCCUUGCAUUGGUGGCAUUGCACAUCUCCUGUUCGUCCCGUGGAGCCUAUAGAUGAUGUGCUCGGGGUUGGGAUAGCCGGCAUGCUUUUAGUCGUAGUUGGGGACGCCGUACUCGAACGUGGUUGCCAGGAGCUUGUUUUGUUGGAGGAGGUGGUUGCAGCAGCCGUGCGAGUAGGAGGGGCUGAAGUGGUGCGUGGUGUCCACGAAGUAGUGCGACCUGCAGAAAUGUUAGUCCUUGUCUUCGGUUGGCGGUCCUGCACUUCACGUUCAGCUUUGCAAGCAAGAUGGAAUAAACGGGUGAUAUUAUUGUACUCCUUAUAAUCAAGUAUGGUUUGAAUAUCCCUGUUCAACCCACCUACGAACCUAGCCAUCAUGGCCUCAUCAUCUUCAAUGAUAGCACAACGGAUCAUUCCCGUUUGGAGCUCUUGAUAAUAAUCUUCUACAGAUUUAGAGCCCUUGAUUUAAAUGUUGCAGCGUGCCUAGCAUUUCUCGUUGAUAGAAAUGAGGUAUAAAUCGAGCUCUCAAGGCACGUUUUAACGUAUCCCAAGUGGUGGGAAUAUUAUUAACAUGCAACCUACGAUGUUCACUCCACCACGUUGAAGCAAAACCAGUAAACUCACAAACAACGGUUCUAACUUUUCUAUCUUCAGGAAAGUCAUGGCAAGUGAACCGUUGUUCUACCUCUAGUUCCCAAGUAAGGUAAGCAUCAGGGUCAUAGUGACUGUCAAAUGGCAGCAUAGAAAACUUAACCUUAGGGACAUCAAAAUCAUCACGUACCUCCCGACAUGGCCCCAUACCAUGUCGGUUAUGAUGCACCCGACGAGGUUGGCGGUCAUUGAUGCGGUUGGUGUCUCGUGGGUCCUCUGAAUCAGCAGCAUAAUCGGAAUUGUCGGAGGCCGCCAUGUCCUCACCAUGUCCUGCAGGAACUCCAGUGCGGGAUGCAGCACCUUGUUGCGUCGUUUCAGUGUGAAGGGCGCGAGGGCGACCAGCUGGAGGUAGUUGUUGUGGUUGUUGCCGAGGUGGGGGCUGUCGGUGUGUUCCAUCCAUGCGAGCAAGGAGGGUGUCAAACUUGGUAUUCAUUUCUCGCAUGCUCGCAUCCAAACCGUCCAACCGACCAUCUAGUCAUGUGACGGUGGCAGCAUGUGUCUUUUCCAUGUCCGUGACAUGGGUGGACAACAACUUGAUGUCAUCAUGCACCUUGCGUGAGCGAGGGGUGAGGUCAUCGCCGCUGUUCUCUCCAGGGCCUGCCAUGGUUAGUGCAAACAAGGAAAACAAAGCACAAAUACAAAGCUCCUAUGCACUAGUGGGAUGUGAAGAAAAAGGCUCUCAACACUCGUGCCGUUUCACAAUUCUUACAAGUUCUUACCAUGCAGCAAGAGGUGACUUAGCAACCAACGGUGUCUCACCACGAAGAAGAUUGGAUAAGCGAUUGCCAGGAGACACGAAACUCUGCACAAAAUCGUUUAAAGUGGAGCUUGGGUGGCUGAUAUUAGUAGCAAGGAUAAGUAAUGAACAAAUAGCAAUACAAGGUUGAUAAUAUGCUCACAAAUGCUAGUCCUAACUGCUGGACUUCGAGUAGUACAAGUAGGAUAAGUAAGCCCAGAUGCUGAAGUGAAAGGCCAAAAACACGAGCACAAGAACUCAAAUUCGAAGAUUUUCCCGAAUUGUCCAGUAGGGUAUUUUUAGGUUUUGACCCUCUUCCCGAGCUCCGAUUGAGCUGAAAUUUUAACAGUAGUUUCCUGAUAUGGUCCUUGAUUUUACAGAAUUUUUCUAGAUUUUUCUGGGCACUUUAAAUUUUCGAGCCCAAAAGCAAUUUUGACCAGAUUUGCCUCUGGUUUUGGGCCGAAAUUUUUCUUUUUGAUAAAAGGGAACCAAGCUCAGAUCUCUUAUAUUUGCUUCUUUAACACAGGGAAACAACUUUCUCACUCACAAAUUUUAGGUAGAAAGAGCAGGCGUAAAAAGCCCAAAAACAGCUCUCUCUCUCUCUUUCUAUCUCUCUAGUCUUUGACUUUCUCAGAUCCACGGUGGCUGGGAUUGAUGGGGGUGAUUUGGUGGUGUUGGAUGAGUAAUUUGGCAGCGGAGGAUGGAGAAAACAUGGGUGGUAGCAGAUCGGGUGAAGUGGUGGGGUGUGGUGGCAGCAAGAACUCCAAGAACACGAAGAACUCGAAGAACGGGAGAAACAAAAGGGGUACGAUCUGGUAGAAAAAAAAUCCAACUCGAACCAACCUAGUCCAAUAACUUGACACGAAGAGUGCAGCAACAAAUCAACAAAGCAAUAACUAAAUCGAACAUGCACGGCUCAGAUCUGGUGCUAGGACAAGGUAGCUGAACAACAAUAUUUUUGUGGGGCUUUUUCUGGACUGUAGGUCGAAGAAGAACAGUAAACUAAGGGAUAACUGAAAUUUCUCACCGAGCAACUUGAGCUCUGAUACCACUUGAUGCGCCCCUUGGCUGCUGGGGGUGGCCCGAUCUUUCGGUGAGAUGGAUAACUACGAUUUGGGGGCAGAAGUAGAUGUUGACGAUCCGACUACACCGGACACUAGACGGUGCGCCUUAGCAAUCGUUACACCAACUCCCUGUGGUUAUUGACAGAACCGAAGGCGCCGUCAGCCUGAACACGAAGUUCCAAUCCCUGUUAGCAAUCGAGCAAGAAUCGAGAUAAGACAAUCUAAUAUUGCAAAUAAAGAUGAAGUACAGCAGUCUCAAGGAGACGAGUAACAAGGUGGGGUUCCGAUAGCGCUUCUUCCAGUAGAUCUAGCCGACACUAGCGGUGAAGUCUGAAGUUGCAACAAUGGCUAACUUAUCUAAACAAAACCCAACCAACCAAAGGGGGUGGUGGCUGCACUUAUAUAGAAGGUGGGAGGUGGAAGAGAGCUAGGGUUUCAGAUUCUAAGAUGGGCUGGGCUGUUACAUGGCCUUGGGCCCAUUAGAAGUGCAAGUGGCAGCCCAAACAUCUCUUCUCUUCGCAUGACUUUAAGUGGCUGCAGCUUCUCGUAUUCUCGUGAUAGUUGCAGCACCGUUUCCUUUCGCACGCGUGACGUCAUCCUCGAAGUUCGACUCGCUCCCAUUCCUUGUGUCACGGCUCGGUCUUUCGUUUCUAAUCAACAUAAGAGCAUUUGAUUUAGGCAGCACCAUAUUCUCAUUUAGAUCGCCCAUAGUACAAAGAAACGAAAGUACCUGAUAAUUGAGUUGGCGCGCACGCGCACGAGUAAUCGGUCUUUGUGAUGCCGCGGUUGUAUCUGUGGGGUGGAUGUCCUCGUCACAUGAUCUCUUCAAGCAUAAGCAUUGAGCAAACAAGCAACCUGAUGACAAU
rnacentral:lncRNA from 1 species